rnacentral:rRNA from 1 species
GUUAUAUGUGUCACACGAAUACCGCCGGUAUUAAGCCGGUAGGAAGGUGCGGAUGACGUCAAGUCAGCAUGACCUUUAUAUCCAGGGCUACACACACGCUACAAUGGACAGUACAACAGGUUGCCAAGCCGCGAGGCGGAGCCAAUCCUCUAAAGCUGUCCUCAGUUCAGAUUGCAGGCUGCAACUCGCCUGCAUGAAGUUGGAGUUGCUAGUAACCGCAGGUCAGCUAUACUGCGGUGAAUACGUUCCCGGGGAUU